rnacentral:rRNA from 1 species
UACAUGUGGGGCAAGCGUUGUCCGGAAUCAUUGGGCGUAAAGCGCACGUAGGCGGAUUGCUAAGUCAGGGGUGAAAUCCCGGGGCUCAACCUCGGAACUGCCUUUGAUACUGCAAAUCUCGAGUCCGAUAGAGGUGGGUGGAAUUCCUAGUGUAGAGGUGAAAAUUCGUAGAUAUUAGGAAGAACACCGGUGGCGAAGGCGGCCCACUGGAUCGGUACUGACGCUGAGGUGCGAAAGCGUGGGGAGCAAACAGG